AAAAUUAGCGUCUAUUUGAGCCACAGUGCAAAUCUAGACAGUGAGUCCCAAAGUCGGUUUACGAGGUACGGUCACUUACGCUAACCAAGAAAGGGCAAUAUUUUGAGGUUUGCACAGGGUUACUGUUUUAUUUUUUUUAAAUCCAGUUAAGAACGAGGCUCCCCCUGAUCAAUACUGAGAGGUUGUCAUAACAGAUCUUCAGAAUACAGGCAGAGCUAGCUGAGCAGCGGAUACGUGCGUCGUAAUUCUCAUUCCAGGAUGAAAAGCUGAAUGAAGCGCAACAUGAAAAAGACAAGCAUCCAAGCCGGGCUUCCCAGCUGGAAGCAGAUGGAGAAAACAUGUUUAGUGAACUGAAAUUUCUGAAGUCUAAAUCAAGAAACUGAAUAGAUGCCUUGCCAAAUUCAAUUCUGUACAUCACCACUUGCUGUGUCUCGGUGAUCUGACCUUUUCCUUCCCUUCCCAAAUGAUGGUCACUGUGAAAUUAUGGAAUGCCACCAAGAAAACAGACUGAAACGCUCGUAUUCCACCUCUCCAGAAAGGUGUCUGAAAACAGCAACCCUGUUUGUGUUCUCCUACAGGAAGUAGUUAAAAGUCCUCUCUGGAGCACAUGUUAGGGUAACCUUCAGAUCACAGCCCAGGCGCACCCCCCCUUUCUGCACACGUAUACAGGGCUAUAACUGUUAGACACACCUGCAGCAAACACCUUGAACUCAGUAAAUUACAGACAAUUUUUAAA